GUCUUGUUGCAGAAUUAUACCGAUUAAACAGCUUCCAUUGAGAAUUGUCAGAGGCUAAAUAAAGUUCUACUUCCAUUGACAUUGUAUAAUUUUCAAUCAACUUGAAGAAGGCCGGUAACCACUGAAGGGAUCUCCUGAAGUAUUCAUGAAUGCUGAACCAAAUCUAAAAAUGACUAAGCAACAUUCAUGAAUGCUGAACCAAAUCUAAAAAUGACUAAGCAACAGAGGACUUUCUAAACUGGACCCAGAACUUCACAGACUGAAACGGUGUGCUUGGCAAAGUGUCAACCCCGGUUUGACUUGAUGGUUUGAUGCAAGUAGGCAGUGAUC
rnacentral:lncRNA from 1 species